CCCGGGCUGCUUCGCGCCUCUCAGCGUCCGCCCUCCUCCGCGGCCUCCUUCUUGCCCCGCCCCCCCGGGGUCCUUUCUCGUCCCGCCUCGUCCUUGGUGCUGUCCUCAGAUUUGCCUGACACUCCUGACAGAACGACCGUCCCGGAUGUCCCUCAGAUCCUUUUUAUUUCGUCUACAGAGAGAAUAUCUCCUCAUCUUAGCUGGGAGAUUCUCCAAAUAACAGGCUUUAUUCCCGUCCCCAAGCACCAGGGCUGCGUUUCGUGCACAGGCGUCCGAACUGGACGCCACGGGCGGAACCCAAGAUGGCGCCGGGGGGGCUUUGCGGACGGCCCGCGCUGUUAAAUAGGAGCGCGUGGCCGUGGGGCGUCCCGGUCGUGUAAGGUGAGAGGCAGGGGCGGACGUGAUGGGGGACUCCUCACUGGGGGCCGGCGGUGGCUGCGGCGCGAGCCUGGUCGGGUGGGGGGUGGGCUCCCUGCGGGGAAGGUGGCGGUGCUGCGAGCGUGCAGUUGGCCUCCAGCCGGGCCGCGCCAUCUUGCCGUGAGCUGGGGGACCCGGAAGGGGUCUACCACCCAGGGGUUUUGUUCUUAGUUUAUUUGAAAGGGUUAGCGGGAGAGCCACUGCUUGGAGCCCCCGAGGGCGGCUGCCGAGGCUCCCAUGAUGCCUAGCACUGGGCUCCGAUCCCCGUGAGGACACAGUGCGCCCCGGGACCUUUGACACCCGGGGGUCUGAGGCGCCUCGGCUCUGAGGGUGUGCACCGGGCCCGUUUAGGUGCCGGGGGUUGGACCCCGGGAUCGGCAGUGAGCUCCCGCCUCGCGGGUGGGGACAGCGGGGAUGGUUAUGUGGGAGCCAGAGAGCAGAGGCCGCCGGGAACGAUUUUGGCUUUUUUAACUUUAUUUUAAAUAUUUGUGAUGGAGAGGAGAGGCAGAGAAACAGAUGUUCGCUUCCCAGACGGCCACUACGGCUAGGGCCGGGCCGGGCCAAGGCCAGGAGCAACAUCCGGGUCUCCCGGAGAUGGCGGGGCCUCAGCACCUGGGCCGGCGUCCACUGCCUAACCGGGGUCCGGAGCGGGACCUCCGGGGACACCGACCCCGCACCGCUGGCCGGAAGCUGCUCCCCAGGGCCCCUCCCUCGCACAGCGGGGUCGCUGCCCACCUCUCAGGGUGGCCGGCACCGGCUGUGGCCAUCGCUGAGCACGUGGUGGGCCCCGGGACCCUGGCUGCCCGCGCCCCACUGACCCCCCCCCCCGCAUCUGCCACAGGGGUACCCGCAGACGCCAGCCGGGCCGCCCGUGCCGCCCCAGGUCUGCCCUCCUCGUGCCCUAGCCGAUUACCCCGCGGCCGGGGCGAGUGGCGCCCAGCGUGGGCCUCGAGGAACGGGAGCUGAGCUGAACGUCGCUGAAGAGCCGGCUGCUUGGUCGAGGUCGCCGCCUUGCCUCAUAACGAUUCCUCUGUGAUACAGGCCUGAAGAAGGCGAGUGAAGACCUGCAGAGUGCCCACCGCGUCCUGCCCCGUCCGACACAGGCCAGAAAGGUACCACGAGGGCUGCGCCGUUUAAUCCACCGCAGAGAAGAUGGAAGUCCUAAUCUUCCUCUCCAGUCUGACCAUUCGUGCUGCUCCCCUGAGACAUGAUGCUCUCCGGAUGCCACUUGCAAACACUGCAGGAUCAGGUGAUAUCUGCCUCUAGCAGGGUGUGCACAUAGGAACUAUCUUGGGGUCCUGUUUGAUGCCCGUUUGUCAUCCAGCCGAAGAGAUUAAAAAUCUUACCUUGUCGCCA